AUUUUUAAAUUAUAGAAUGGACGUCGUCGGUUUACUUACAAAACUUAAAAACUUUUGAGUUCAUUGUUUGAUUAAUUAAAAUUCCACCAUUAAAUCUGUGUUUUCAUGCCCAGACUACAGAGCAAAUAACAAACCCAAACUGAAUGUGUAAAAAUAACAAGAUUAUAGUGCCGAUUUACAUACUUGGAGACGAGUAAAAAAGAACAAUGACUUCAGUUGCUCCAUCAGACACAGAAUCUAAUGUUAGUGGAUUUAUACGGUACAGUGAAAAAGACAUAAAACAUUUGUACACUUCAGUGAUAGAGAACAUGGAAAUGAUCAAUCAAGAUAUACUGGAAGUUGAGAAAAACCUAAAGAACUUGGUGAAGCAGUCGGGGCCUUUAGAAAGUCAGCUGGCUGCUCUUCUUCGAACACUGCCAAAACCAAAUAUUAGUUUACUAAUGGAUACCGAUGAUGAAUGAUGAUUAAGUAGAAUAUAAGGAAAUUCAAUGUGUCUUAUAAUACUUUUUAUCAUAUGUUGAUGUCAUAAUAAAAAUGAAAUAAAGACAUUAAUUUUA